AGCAGCCGCGGUAAUUCCAGCUCCAAUAGCGUAUAUUAAAGUUGUUGCAGUUAAAAAGCUCGUAGUUGAAUUUCGGGAUCAAUAUAUCGGUCGUGCCUUGGUACGUACUGGUAUCAUUGGUCUCUCCUUUCUGACGAACCAUGAUGUCAUUAAUUUGGUGUUAUGGGAAGUUAGGACUGUUACUUUGAAAAAAUUAGAGUGUUUAAAGCAGGCUUUAGCUUGAAUACAUUAGCAUGGAAUAAUGAAAUAGGACGUUCGAACCUAUUUGUUGGUUUCUAGGAUCAACGUAAUGAUUAAUAGGGAUAGUUGGGGGCAUUAGUAUUCAAUUGUCAGGGGUGAAAUUCUUGGAUUUA
rnacentral:rRNA from 1 species